rnacentral:lncRNA from 1 species
AUGUGUAUCCAAACUAACACCAACACCCCAAUCUCUUCCUCCAACUGUCUGUCUUCUCGUUCUGCUUUCCCCUUGUCCCCCUCUCUCACUCUAAGCUUCUCUCUCUCUCUCUGCCUCUCUCACUUUGCCUUCCUCCCUCACUCUCUCUGCCUCUCUCUUUCUUUCUCUCCCGCUCAAACCCUGCCGGUGGCCAGAUCACCAAACUACUCCACUCAACCACUCCAUUCGAUUUCAAUCAGACGCAUUUUACAAUGUCGUAAAAGUGUGUGUGUGUGUAUGUGUGUGUGCCAUCACAUAAAAGCCCACUUCAAAAGAACUAAAAGUGUCUGGAGUCAGAUUACUACACCUAUCGUAUCUACCAUGUUUGGCGGGUCCUCACAACCCUUCCCACUGUUGGCUUCUGGUCUUGGGACAUCUCUGAACCAUGGAUAGAGGAAGACAUUGGAAUGGAUUGGCUGAGAAAUGCAGGAAAAUGGAGCUGCGGGUAGACAGAUGUCCCAAAAGGCACCCUAUUCCCUACUUUUGACGUGCACUUUAAAGUGAAUAAGGAGUCACUUGGAACACAGACAUAAACUCAUCAAAGGUUUUCUCACAGACGUCAUGAUGGAUUUUCUGGAGGUCUGGACGAGUGAAAGUGCCCCCAUGCCAACUAACAAAUAGACAAAUCCAACUCCCUCUCUCACUCACUAACACACACACACACACACACACACACACACACACACACACACACACACACACACACACACACACACACACACACACACACACACACACACACACACACACACACACACACACACACACACACACACACACACACACUGCUGUCAGCUAGAACCAGGCUUGGUUAGAUGAAACCAGGAAACCAAAAGGGUUUCAUAUGUUCCUAUAAUUUAGAUCACCUUAGUCGGCCAGAUCAAUGUCUCCGUCUUGGCCUUGUUCGGUCGUUCCCACUCUGUCCUUCACUUUGUUCUGUGAGAGAUUUGGAGGAAUGAAUCUGGAUGGUGAAACCCAUUCUUUUGAUGCAUCAUGAGAAAUAGAGUAGAAUAAAUGUUGUAAUGGAUCUGGAAUGGUCCUGUAUGUUCCGACUGGAAUGUUGUGCUUCUACACGUUACUAUGCUUGAUUGGAUACUUGCUAGUGUUACGGAAAAUAAGGUGAACUUGACAUUUGGCUGAACUAGUCCUUCAUGAUGCAUGUCGGUAUGUGUCACGCAUAUUCUAAAUGAAUGAAUACAGUCUCCCUGUUUCUUAUCUGAGCGACACAGAUGGAUGCAGGGGAUCAGUGGAAGAGACGUUUUCUGUAGUCUCUUCUCCCCACCUGCUGAGUCUGACACCCAAUCCAUUAACACUUGAGUUUGGCAAAGCGAGACUACUUUCUCUCUGCACUUACUUACAACAGUUAACUCCACAUUCUGAGCAGAAGGAGAUCGCCCCUGGAUCCCCUGAGUCUGUCACUCACCGACCCAGCUGGAGGCUUUUACAGUAUCCCAGACUCACCCACACUACACCCGUAUCCAAAACGAUAGGACCCUUUUAUCCCUGCCACCCUUGCUCCCGUACCAACAAGCGCUCGCCGCCUCUGUCCUAAAACCAUGUGUGACAUGUCACUACCCAGAGCCACUACCCAGAGCCACUACCCAGAGCCACUACCCAGAGC